UCGCAGUUUCGCACUUCACAGCCAUCUCCUUGGCGUCUGCUUGCUGGUUUAGGGUUUAGCAAUUGAUUUAUGAUAAUACCUGUUAUUUGUUUCAAAUUGAUUUGCUGAUUAGCUGGAUUUUCCGAGGUUAUUGUGUGCUGGUUAAGUAAUUGUGUGCUGGAUUUUCAUGUAAUUUUUCUGUAGUAAUUUGACUUUCUUGUGUUUGUAUGCAGAGAAUGGUUGUUUCUUUUUUCACCUUCUUUUCUGAAUCUGUUAUUGUAUCUAAUCAUGUCCACAUUGUACUUCCUUGGAAAAAUGGUGUUGCUUCUGAUAAAUCUAUUGUGCUGUUAAAUAUUCCAAUAUCAUUGCUCUGCUUAGGUGAUUAAUAAGUUUAGCCUAUCCAUCUCCUUAACUAGUUUUAGAUACGCGCUUGGUCAAAGUUGUUUGUCUUAUUAUCUUGUUAUGCAUGCCUUUAAAUCUUUGUCUAAGUAGUAUGAAAAACUUUUUACUAUUUGAAGGUUUUGUCGCUAAAGUAAAAAACUGUACUCCCUUUGCUUUUGAAGCUUAUAAGCUGUCAUUCUUUCUGUAUGUUGUAGGAGUUAGAGAGAGAAAGGUGUUUGUUAGUUGAAACCUUAAGGUCCAAACUGGUAUGGUUUUGCUUAUGUUUAGCCUACAAUGGCCGAUAACUUGUGUAUUUCAUAAAUAGGUUUGUGCCUUCGUUCCAUUUUGUUGUAGGAGGAUACUAGGCAAAAGAUGGUUGUGUUUGAUAAUGAGGUUCGCCAGUUGAAAACUGAAUUGCAUGAGGAGAAGCUGACCACUGCAAAUCAAACAAAGAGCAGAAAAUAGAAGAACUUGAAGAGGAAACAAGAAGAUUAAGCAAAGAGCUUGACAGUGAAAAGCAGGAAGCUCGAGAAGAAGCAUGGGAUAAAGUUUCUAUUCUUAAGCUUGAGAUAAAUGCCACAAUGCAGGAUCUAGAUUUUGAGAGGAGGAGAUUAAAAGGUGCCAAGGAAAGACUUAUGCUUUGGGAAAUACAACUACAUGCAUUUUAUUCCACUACUGAGGAGAUGCAAGUACUCUUUGCUAAGCAACAGGAGCAAUUAAAGGCUAUGCAGAGAACUCUUGAAAACGAAGAGAAUUACGAGAAUACUUCUGUAGAUAUGGAUGGAGUGAUCGGUGGAACCCCUGGAAGAGAGAGAAGAGUCAGGAUACUAUAGCAAAAAUGCUACAAAGGCAGGAUGAACUGCAUCUACACUGAAGCAUAACAGAGAUCAAGUAAAAACCUCAAGCAAUGAAGCUAGUGUCACUGAGAAGCACGACUGUGAGGUGAGAAGUCAAGAAUGCCAAAAUACACAAGAGUUCACCAGUGCAGAUCAUGACCAUGAUGUAAGAGGUGGCUUUAGUUCUGAUAUUGAUGGUGCUGGCACAACAGCUAUGAUGGAUGGAGGCACUGGCGGUACUGAGGAUCCCAUUACAAAGCUAGACCGAAUGAGGAAGAUGACACCUCUACUGAAGAAGAUAAGAGUUAAAAUAUAUUUUUAGUUAUUUUAACUGUCAAAAUACUGAAAAGAUUCUUGUCAAGAGUUAAUACUACAUACUCUUAAACAAAACACCACCACUUAAACUCGCAGUCUAUACAAUGAAUGUUGCUGCUUUAAAUUCUUGUCAAGAGAUGUGUUGGUAUUCAUCAUUCCCUUAAGGUUAGUCUCUAUUUGUUCUUUGAAAGGUGUACUGAAAAAUUUGUUUGGUUUCUAUUUUUUAACAGGAGUUUAGGAUCGCACGAUCUUCUAGUCACCAGAUAGCGCAUGGUAACACUACUAUGUUCAUACUGCAGGAUAUAGAUUGCAUUCAUACUAAAGGUUGUAAUACUAGUUCUCGAUGUUCAUGCAGCUAUUGCAAAAGAUCCUCAGCACUUCCGACAGAUUGUUGUUUUUCUGGUGGACAAAUUUCGGAUAGACAAUUCUCUGUUGGAGAACUAUGCUUUUUCCUUGUUCCAAAAUUUUAUCUUUAUUUAUGCAGUUUCACUAAAAUAUUGUAUUUGCUUAUAUUUUUACCUUUAGUUAUUAAAUUCUAUUUUUU